rnacentral:rRNA from 1 species
CCUACGGGAGGCAGCAGUGGGGAAUAUUGCACAAUGGGGGAAACCCUGAUGCAGCGACGUCGCGUGAGUGAUGAAGUAUUUCGGUAUGUAAAGCUCUAGCAGCAGGGAAGAAAAUGACGGUACCUGACUAAGAAGCCCCGGCUAACUACGUGCCAGCAGCCGCGGUAAGACGUAGGGGGCAAGCGUUAUCCGGAUUUACUGGGUGUAAAGGGAGCGUAGACGGCGGUGCAAGCCAGAUGUGAAAGCCCGGGGCUCAACCCCGGGACUGCAUUUUGAACUGUGCUGCUAGAGUGUCGGAGAGGCAGGCGGAAUUCCUAGUGUAGCGGUGAAAUGCGGAGAUAGUAGGAGGAACACCAGUGGCGAAGGCGGCCUACUGGACUGUAACUGACGUUGAGGCUCGAAAGCGUGGGGAGCAAACAGGAGUAGAUACCCCUGUAGUC